rnacentral:rRNA from 1 species
UGCCAGCAGCCGCGGUAAGACGGAGGGUGCUAGCGUUGUUCGGAAUCACUGGGCGUAAAGGGCGCGUAGGCGGCGAUGAAAGUCGGGUGUGAAAGCCCGGAGCUCAACUCCGGAACUGCACUCGAAACUUUGUUGCUGGAGGUCGGAAGAGGAGAGUGGAAUACCCAGUGUAGAGGUGAAAUUCGUAGAUAUUGGGUGGAACACCAGUGGCGAAAGCGGCUCUCUGGUCCGUACCUGACGCUGAGGCGCGAAAGCGUGGGGAGCAAACAGGAUUAGAUA